rnacentral:sRNA from 1 species
UAUCAGUAAGCAAAACAGUGGUUGACGG